AUACAUUAAAAAGCUGAAAGAUUCUCAAGCAAGUCCAUUUUGUAUGUGAAGAAGGGAGAGAAAAGGACGUUGAAGUUUGCUCUCUCCCCUACCCCAGUCCUGAAAAUAAUCACAUCUUGAAGCUCAUUACACAUGUAAUAUAAUACAUUGAAGGAAUCAAGAAUCAUUGAAAAG